rnacentral:rRNA from 1 species
AUUGAACGCUGGCGGCAUGCCUUACACAUGCAAGUCGAACGGCAGCACGGGUGCUUGCGCCUGGUGGCGAGUGGCGAACGGGUGAGUAAUACAUCGGAACGUACCUUAUCGUGGGGGAUAACGCAGCGAAAGCUGUGCUAAUACCGCAUACGCCCUGAGGGGGAAAGCGGGGGAUCGCAAGACCUCGCGCGAUUAGAGCGGCCGAUGCCUGAUUAGCUUGUUGGGGGGGUAAAAGCCCACCAAGGCGACGAUCAGUAGCUGGUCUGAGAGGACGCUCAGCCACACUGGGACUGAGACACGGCCCAGACUCCUACGGGAGGCAGCAGUGGGGAAUUUUGGACAAUGGGGGCAACCCUGAUCCAGCAAUGCCGCGUGAGUGAAGAAGGCCUUCGGGUUGUAAAGCUCUUUUGUCAGUGAAGAAAACUUUAGUAAUAACACUAUUAAAGCAUGACGGUAACUGAAGAAUAAGGACCGGCUAACUACGUGCCAGCCGCCGCCGUAACAC